rnacentral:sRNA from 1 species
GCUGGGCGCGGUGGUGCACACCUGUAAUCCCAGCAGUUCAGGAGACUGAGACAGGAGGAUCAUGAGUUCAAAGCCAGCCUCAGCAAGGAUGAGGCGCUUAGCAACUCAGUGAGACCCUGUUUCUC